rnacentral:rRNA from 1 species
AUUUGGUCGUAGACCCGAAACCAGGUGAUCUACCCUUGGUCAGGUUGAAGUUCAGGUAACACUGAAUGGAGGACCGAACCGACUUACGUUGAAAAGUGAGCGGAUGAACUGAGGGUAGCGGAGAAAUUCCAAUCGAACCUGGAGAUAGCUGGUUCUCUCCGAAAUAGCUUUAGGGCUAGCCUCAAGUGAUGAUUAUUGGAGGUAGAGCACUGUUUGGACGAGGGGCCCCUCUCGGGUUACCGAAUUCAGACAAACUCCGAAUGCCAAUUAAUUUAACUUGGGAGUCAGAACAUGGGUGAUAAGGUCCGUGUUCGAAAGGGAAACAGCCCAGACCACCAGCUAAGGUCCCAAAAUAUAUGUUAAGUGGAAAAGGAUGUGGCGUUGCCCAGACAACUAGGAUGUUGGCUUAGAAGCAGCCAUCAUUUAAAGAGUGCGUAAUAGCUCACUAGUCGAGUGACACUGCGCCGAAAAUGUACCGGGGCUAAACAUAUUACCGAAGCUGUGGAUUGUCCUUUGGACAAUGGUAGGAGAGCGUUCUAAGGGCGUUGAAGCAUGAUCGUAAGGACAUGUGGAGCGCUUAGAAGUGAGAAUGCCGGUGUGAGUAGCGAAAGACGGGUGAGAAUCCCGUCCACCGAUUGACUAAGGUUUCCAGAGGAAGGCUCGUCCGCUCUGGGUUAGUCGGGUCCUAAGCUGAGGCCGACAGGCGUAGGCGAUGGAUAACAGGUUGAUAUUCCUGUACCACCUAUAAUCGUUUUAAUCGAUGGGGGGACGCAGUAGGAUAGGCGAAGCGUGCGAUUGGAUUACACGUCUAAGCAGUAAGGCUGAGUAUUAGGCAAAUCCGGUACUCGUUAAGGCUGAGCUGUGAUGGGGAGAAGACAUUGAGUCUUCGAGUCGUUGAUUUCACACUGCCGAGAAAAGCCUCUAGAUAGAAAAUAGGUGCCCGUACCGCAAACCGACACAGGUAGUCAAGAUGAGAAUUCUAAGGUGAGCGAGCGAACUCUCGUUAAGGAACUCGGCAAAAUGACCCCGUAACUUCGGGAGAAGGGGUGCUCUUUAGGGUUAACGCCCAGAAGAGCCGCAGUGAAUAGGCCCAAGCGACUGUUUAUCAAAAACACAGGUCUCUGCUAAACCGUAAGGUGAUGUAUAGGGGCUGACGCCUGCCCGGUGCUGGAAGGUUAAGAGGAGUGGUUAGCUUCUGCGAAGCUACGAAUCGAAGCCCCAGUAAACGGCGGCCGUAACUAUAACGGUCCUAAGGUAGCGAAAUUCCUUGUCGGGUAAGUUCCGACCCGCACGAAAGGCGUAACGAUUUGGGCACUGUCUCAACGAGAGACUCGGUGAAAUCAUAGUACCUGUGAAGAUGCAGGUUACCCGCGACAGGACGGAAAGACCCCGUGGAGCUUUACUGUAGCCUGAUAUUGAAAUUCGGCACAGCUUGUACAGGAUAGGUAGGAGCCUUUGAAACGUGAGCGCUAGCUUACGUGGAGGCGCUGGUGGGAUACUACCCUAGCUGUGUUGGCUUUCUAACCCGCACCACUUAUCGUGGUGGGAGACAGUGUCAGGCGGGCAGUUUGACUGGGGCGGUCGCCUCCUAAAAGGUAACGGAGGCGCUCAAAGGUUCCCUCAGAAUGGUUGGAAAUCAUUCAUAGAGUGUAAAGGCAUAAGGGAGCUUGACUGCGAGACCUACAAGUCGAGCAGGGUCGAAAGACGGACUUAGUGAUCCGGUGGUUCCGCAUGGAAGGGCCAUCGCUCAACGGAUAAAAGCUACCCCGGGGAUAACAGGCUUAUCUCCCCCAAGAGUUCACAUCGACGGGGAGGUUUGGCACCUCGAUGUCGGCUCAUCGCAUCCUGGGGCUGUAGUCGGUCCCAAGGGUUGGGCUGUUCGCCCAUUAAAGCGGUACGCGAGCUGGGUUCAGAACGUCGUGAGACAGUUCGGUCCCUAUCCGUCGUGGGCGUAGGAAAUUUGAGAGGAGCUGUCCUUAGUACGAGAGGACCGGGAUGGACAUACCUCUGGUGUACCAGUUGUCGUGCCAAC